GCAUUAAUGGGGUAGUGGUAACCUGGGUCGUUGCCAUCUUUCUAGAGCAUCGUAUCGACCCGCCGAGGGUUCGAUUCCCUCUUAAUGCA